rnacentral:antisense_RNA from 1 species
AACUGACCGUCGCCCGCCUGGCACUAGCAGCGGCGCAGACCCGGGCGGCGUCGGGCGCCUGGGUGCGCUCUGAGCGCAGCUCCCCUCGCCCACACCGCGCCGGAGGAGCGGAGCCCACGCGCAGCCCCGGGCUGCUCCCCGGGGACGCUUGCCGGGGCUCCCGAGAGGCCCCAAGGUUCCUGGCAGGGCUGCUGGUGGGUGUUGGUGUGAAGUCGGGAAUGCAGUGUGGCUGUGAUGCCCUAGAUCCCUGGGGCCGCGCCCUGCCGCCCGUCCCCCAUCACCCUGCUGUGGAGCGACGUGGCUGCUAAGAGGCGCCCUCCCUAGCAGGUGAUCAAACUCAAUCAACAGCUCCAAAAAGUUUACAUUACCCCGGAGCAAAAACGGACCUGCUGUGUUUCUACUACCUCUGCAACUCAUUCCCCAGUGGGAGGAAAGAUAAGAAAAUAAAUUGCAAACAUGUUGCAGCUGCUGAAUGACUCAGCCUGGCAAGUUUCCUGUCUGGAAUAAUGUGCUGCUCUGGGAACUUCUCAUCAAACAUUCACCCCA